rnacentral:rRNA from 1 species
UAUCGUGGGGGAUAACGCAGCGAAAGUUGUGCUAAUACCGCAUACGUCCUGUGGGARAAAGCGGGGGAUUGCAAGACCUCGCGCGAUGAGAGCGGCCGAUAUCUGAUUAGCUUAGUUGGUGGGGUAAAGGCCUACCAAGGCGACGAUCAGUAWCUGGUCUGAGAGGACGACCAGCCACACUGGGACUGAGACCGGUCCAUACUCCUAYGGGAGGCAUCAGUGGGGAAUUUUGGACAAUUGGCGAAAGCCUGAUCUCAKCCAUUCCKCGUGAGUGAAGAAACGCCUUCUGUUGUAAAG